UUAAUAUUUUUAAGUUUUAGUAUUUUUUUAAUAUUAAAAUUAUUUUUUAUUCUAAAAAUAUAAAUUUUGCUUAAAAAUCAUUUAAAAUUUCACUAAUUCCCUUACUCAAUUUCUAAUCCCAACCAGGGACGAAUCCAGGAUUAUGUCUUUGGAGGGGCUACUCUAUAGUUUAAAAAAUUGAGAAGCUACUCUAUAUAAUUUUGAAAUUAUUUACAAAAAAUUUGAUGGUGCAAACUCCUAUAAUUUUAAAUUAUUUUAAAAAUUUUAAUAUAAUAUAUGAUAUUUUUAAAAUUUUUAGAGGUGCAGCCGCCCUCCUAACCCCCUCUAGAUCCAUCAUUUGAUCCUAAUCCCCCCCAUGGCUUUAUUAGUCCUACUACAUGGAGAAAUUACUAAUCCAAGAGAAUAGUUAAUCCCCUCACUCAUAUCCCUAACCAAACACUCUUUAAGUAGAUCUCACGACUGUUAAUCCAAUAUAUCCUUCCAAAGAGCCAAACCCUAGCUUUUAUUGGUAUUAUUAAAUGGUCAAAGAUCUGAUUUAAGGAUUCACCAAGUUGAUAAGAGCACAUGGAGGAGUUAUGGAAUAUGGAUAUAGGAGUCUGGGCCAGAACUAGUCAAUGCUUGGAAAUACAACUACUAGUAAACACUAAACCUUAAAGCAAGGGAUUAAUAGCUGUUUGGUUUCUAAGAAAACAGAAGGAAAGGUGGAAGUGGGAGAGAGAAAAAGUCAGAAAAUAAACUUUGCAUCACAAGAAAGUCGUUUAAGAAAGAAUAACAAAGGAAAAAAGCUUGAGGGGCCAAAGAAGAUUCACAAAAAGCUUCUUAUCACAUAUUCCUCACCUCUGUGUUCUUUCUCACUUAAGUAUAGAGGAUAUACUAUUCUUCCAAAAAGUAAAGCCAAUUAGAAUCACGCCAAAAACGUCUACCCAAAAAGCCGCCCAAAAAAAAAAUACCCCAUAAAUAUACCCUGUUUGAUUGUGAUUUCAAUUUUUUUAUGUUUGUUUUUGUAGAAGUACACAUUUAUUUUUUUAUGGUUAAUUGGAACUUAUAUUUAAAAAACUGACGACGUGUUUCAACUAUUAACUAAAAUAAUAAAUAAUUUGUAAAAUAGAAAGAAAAAAAAUUCAAUACCACUCAAAUUCAUGAUGUAAAAUCUAGCCCACCACCAUAAAAAUAUGGAUUGAAAGUGACUGAAUCAAUUAUUGGGUUUGUUUAGAAUUUGGUCUGUAGUUUCCUGUUUUCAAAUUCGUCCUCAAAUUCAAUAAAAAUAAAAUUGAACUAAACUAUAUAUAACAAAAUUAUUUCUGAAUAAUUUUAUUAUGUAAACAAAAAAAAUUUGACAGAAAUUCAAAAAUAGAGAAACACCAGAAGCAAAAUGUUAUCAAAACAUGGUCUUAACUGAAUUUCUAUUGGAAGUGAUCAGGCUUAUUACCAAACAGUCUUUAAUUGAAUAGUUUUUCAUAAAGAUUCUGUUUGUGAAGCAUAUUUUGGAUUAAAAAUAAUCCGAGGAAGGAGAAGUUUAGGAAAGUAAAUGACUUGAUAGGUUGUAGUAGGUAGCAAGCACAUCAACAGAGAAAUGUAGAAAAUGUUGAUAUUUUUAAUCAAUCACUGUUUUUUAGAAUAAUGUUUCAUCUCCUAAUUUUUCUCUCCAAACUUUCCUUUAUGUUGUGUUUAAUUGAAAAUUUUGAAAAGAGAUUUAAAAAGAAAAAAUAAAAAAAUAAGUAACAUGUAAAUAAAAUAUAUCUAUAUUUUACUUAGUUUCACACUUUUUUUUUUUUUUUUUCCAUUUCUAAAUUAUUUCCCAAUUAUCUUAACCAAAUACAAUGUUAAUAAAGUGAUAAGUAAUUUUAAAAAUAAAGAAAAGAAUUGAUUGAUUAAUAUUGUGGAGAAAACAAUUGGGGAAUUGAACAUUUUCCGGUUUUCUAUAGGCAAACGCUGGCCCAGCCUUCUUAAACUAAUUAUGAUGCACUCUGGGAUAGAGAUGUUUGAACUCUGAAGAGAGAGACACUGUAAGCCUUGUUUGAUUUAAUUCUUAAAACAUAAUUUGUGAAAAAAAAAUUUCAAAAUUUUGUUUGGUUGGAAAUUUUUUUAAAAACAUUUCUAAAAUCAAUUUCUCUUUCCUACACGUCAAUACUCCAAAACUUUCAUACUCCAAGAUAAACAAACUAAAAAAAUUUCUAAAUUCUUUCCCCAAAAUUUAUUUUGAAAAUAUAUCACCCAAAACCAAACCAAACAAAACACACCCUACAAUUCCUAUCCCAUUCUAAUCAAUCAACUCUGUCACGUUACUACAGUUUUGAGGGGGGAAAAUUUUUUAUAAAUGUUAUAUGGUGCAUUGUUUAUAAUAUUUUAAAAUAGCGUUGUUUUGAAAUAAAACUUAAAUAAUAAUGAAUAAUUAUUUAGUAAUUUUAUAAUACAAACAUGUGAUAUUUUGUAAUAUUAUAAUCGGUGAAAAACAUAAAUAAAUAAGGUAUUAUAUUGAGUAAUUAAAAAAUAUGAAAAGAUAAAAUAAAUUAUUAUUUGUUAAGAAUAUGAACAUGUGAUAUUUCGAAAAGAAUCUAUAAUUUCUCAUAAAAUAUAACCUAUCACUUUUUUCUUUUUCUUUUCUCCAAAAGAAUGUCCUUUUUUAAAGGAAAGGGGGUCACUGUUGUACUCAAAGCACAAUAGUGAUUGUGGCGCCUGUGUUUGAGGUGUAUUAUGGCCUUAUUUUUAUGAUCCAAACCGUUUAUUUUGUAGGGUUUGUUAAGUAUUUCAUGCCUAUCAAAAAUCAUAUUAAUCGGAUAUCAAUAACUAUAUGAUCAAUAACUAAAAAAAUAAAUAAUAAGUUUUUCUUUUAAGAAAUGGCAUAAACAAUAUAUAAUUCGAUCAUAUAAUUAUUGAUAUCCGAUUAAUAUAAUUUUCAGUAAGCAUGAAGUACUCAACAAACCCUACAAUAUAACGGUUUAAAUCAUAAAAAUAAAACCAUAAUACAUCUCAAACGGAGUCACUAUUGUGCUUUGAGCACAGCGACCCCUUUUCCCCCCUUUUUUUAAAUACUAUAUGGUGCUCUGUAUAAAAUCUGAAUUUAUACACCUGCGUCGAGAUGAGUGUUAUAUUAAAAUCUCAAAAAAACAAAAUUUUAAUUGUUCAUAAUUAUUAAAUUAAUCAGUUCAUAAGAAUUGAUGAAUUGAAAACUGCAAUAAAUAAUUAUAACAUUCAAGAAAACUUGACAAAUCAAAAAUAAAAAUAAAGUAGUUUCUUAGGUCAAUUUCAAAAUUAAAAAAAAUACAUGAUAUAAGUAAUGUUAGAGACUCCAAAUAAUCUACCAAAUAUUUACCAAUCAUUUUACAUGAGUGUGAGAUCCACACACAUGUAAAUUUGUGUAGACCCAUAUCCAUAUAAGAGAUUUAGUAAAAUAUUUGAUAAAUUAUUUGAAAUUCAUAAUAUUUUCUAUUCAAAAAAUCUACUUUAUAUGUUAUUAGUAUAAAUUGUACUCUAUAAUUUCUUUAUAUUCUUGUAAUAUAUGAAAAAGAACCUUGGCCUAUCUCCUCCUCCAUUUUUAUUAAUAGAGAUGUAUUGAUUUUAGAUUUCUAUUCUAUUUUUAUCUAUUAUUAUUAUUAUUGAGUAAUGCUAGAUUUCAUUAAAAAAAAUAUAUAUAUCAUGAAAAGAUUCUUAAUUUGUGAUGUUUUAUUAUAUGGCCUCUUUUGAUAAAGAAGUUAAAAACAGUUUUUUUUUAAAACUUUUGACUUUUUUGAGUCAUAUCAUUUUUUUAUUUUUACAAAAAACUAAAAAAUUAACUUUUAACCUAUUUUCUAAAAUAAACCUAUAUAUAUAAUUCAAGAAUGAAUAAUCUUCAUAAAUUUUUUUUUUUAUAUUUCUUUCAUAAAAUUUAACUCCUAUUAUUAUAAUCAACAAGGCUGGCAAGGAACAUCAGAAAUCACAUGGCUUACCAUACUAGUAAUGAAUGAUUCCAUCAUUCAAACAUAAUUAAUAAUUAUAAGCUAUUUUAGGAUUAUCAAAUUUUUUAUCUAGAAUUAAAUAACAUGAACGAUUGAAAACUGAUAAACCACCCUAUCUUUUAUUGUUAUUAUUAAAAUGGUCAAAGAUCUGAUUUAAGGGCCCACCAAGUUAAUAAGAGCAAAUGGAUGAAUUAUGGAAUAUGGAUAUAGGAAUAUGGGCCACAACACAACUAGUCAAUGCUUGGAAAUACAACCACUAGUAAACAAUAACCUUGAAGCAAGAGAUUAGUAGCUGUUUGGUUAAUAAGAAAACGCACGGAAAGGAGGAAGUGGGAGAGAAAAGGUCAGAAAAUAAACUUGCACAAGAAAGUGAGGUAAGAAAGAAUAACAGAGGAAGAGGAUUGCGGGACCAAGAAGAUUCACAAAAAGCUUUUCUUUUUCACCAAGCAAACAAACAAAACCACAAAAGUCCAAAAAGAAAACCCAAUUAGAAUCACGCCAAAAAUGCCUACCCAAAAAAAAAAAAAAAAAAAAAAACCCACAAAUAUGUCCCGUUUGAUUGUGAUUUCAUUUUUAAUUUUUGUUUUUAAUGUUUUCAAAAAAAAUAUAAUGCUAACCAAAAAAUAUAAUGCUAACCAAUUUUGGCAUUGUUUAGUUUAAUUCUCAAAAAAUAAUUUUUGAAAUUUUUUUUUUAAAAUUUUGCUUGGUUAAAAUUUUUUUACAUCAAUGAAUCAUUUUCACUCUCUUCUCUUUCCUUUUCAAUUACUUUUUCUCUCACACACAUCUAUUCAAUUAUAAUAAAAUAUCAAAUUAUUCCAAACUUCCAUACUUUAAAACUAUUUCUAAAAUAUACAACCAAAUAAAUUAAAAAAAAUUCUAAACUGAUUUUUUUUUUUAAAAUUUAUCUCUUACAACUAAACCAAACACACCUUUUAUUUUUGUACAACAAUAAUUUUGAGUAAUUAUUAAAAUGUAAUGCUAACCACAGCCUAAUGGAGACUCUAGUUAAUAUUAAUAUAUAUGUCAAAAAAAAUUUAUUAAAAUACAUAAAAGAGAAAUACGGAUACGAGUACAAGUACAAGUAUUGAUACAAUACAAAUAUGUCAAUAUAGUAAAAUUAAAAAAAAAAAUUAAGGUAUGAGUACAGUUUGUAAAAAAAUAUUUAUUUUUAAUUUAGAGUAGAGCAAAAAUAAAAAAUAAAUCUAGUAAAAAGAGUUUUAUCUCAGUAAUAGAACAAAAUAUUAUUUCAACUGAAGUACAGUAUGGCACAGUACGACUUGAGUAUAUAUUAAGUAUGUCUAGGUAUACCAAAAAUUAAAAA